UGUCUGUCUUAAGCACAAAGGAGUUAACAAGUUAAAUGUCUUUAACUCCUGUGGCCCUGUAACUUAAAACUGUUCUCUGUGGACUAUUGAUAGAACGAUCUGUGUGAAGAUAGUGGGAAUUGAGAGCUUCUCUAGAAUGUUAUACUCCUCUUCACCAAAUAUGAACAAAACCACUUGUAGGGAUGCCAGAUAUCUUUUUUUUUUUUUUUAACAUUCCACUCCUGUUUGAGUAAAUGCUCGGGGAAACUUUGUAGCCACUAGAGGGAGCAAUUACACAAAAUCAACCAGGAAAUUUCUCCGUACUGUAAAAUAUCCCUAAAGCAAGUUGGAAAGCAAGUACCUUAAUCUUCUCUGUUAGCUUCAAAGUUAAGUGGAAUUUUUUUGAGUAAGUUUUCUCACUAUAAUUUUACCUUUGCCUUCUCAUCUGUUGAGUAAGGAUCCAUUUAAGUCUUGGAAGAGCUUUAUUAGUACUGAACCUCUAGAAAAAUAGGUCUAGGUUUGGGGGCUUAGGAAAAACUGCUGUAGAUGUGAAUCUGUUUGUUUUCCUGCCUCCCUUGUAUACCUACAGGUAUAGAUCACUAAGGCCAGAAAUCUAAGAACUGGGUGCAGGAGUCGAUGUGCUGCACAAAGCAAUCUAGGCAUAAAAUUGGUCCCAUACUAGGAAAAACAAAUAUGCAUUCAGGGACCUUUGUUGCUUGUUUAUGUGGUGUGAAACAGGUUUCUGGAGUCUUAUUUCUCAGUGUUAUGAAAGACUUAAUGAGUAUUAGUGUGUCUUAAAAUUCUGCUUAUUCAUCAGGUUAACUGUUGACAUUUUUUCUGUUCUCUAGGCCUUGCUUAAGUAGCUACAGAGAGUUACCUUGUGACCAUAAAGUCUGUACCUAUAGUUCUCUUGUCCAGUUUACUUAAUGCCAUUUUAUAUUAAGAAAGCUUAAAUUUUAGCAUGUCAUUCCCAUCAUUCCUCUCCCUAUAACCUUAAUAUUGCAAAGAAUGUAAACCUCUUGUUUAAAUUCACUAUAAAAAUACUGUUAAGUUUUGGGCCCAGUCGAUGAUACAGUUUACUCAAAAUGGACGUGGGAGCACUCACCUUAAAACAUUGAUAGUAGAAACUUGUAUGCUUUGAAGAAUUUCUAAAAGAGCAAAUAAAAGUAUUUUUUCAAGAGAGAAGAAUCAAAUUUACAGAUUCCCUGCCUGCUUAACUAACAUUUUAUGUGGCAAGUGUAGCCACAGACGGUGGUUGCUGACAGCAGGCUUGGUACAGGUUGGACUGAGAGGACUAUAGGUUGAUUAUGCUUGUCUUUAAUCCUAACAGUGUUAGGUAUGUGGUCUCUUUAGUUGAAUUUGUGAAGAGGCAUUCUAAAACCAAAAUUGUACAGUUGGAAGUCCAGAAUUCUUUGUAAAAGAAAAAGGCUGAACUUGGAGAUUGUAAACUGCCAGAGGCAUGGUAGAAUUGUGUCCUGAGGUGCUGUAGGGGAGCCUUAAUACAUAAAGUUUGGGAUAAGUUUUCAAGUUGUGGCAGGGAUUAAGGUUUAAAACUUAGGAAUGGACUGCUGCAUCAGUCAAAAGGCAACCAACAGCCUUUAAAUAGGACUUGGAAGUCCUAGGCUGAAUCUCUUCUGCCCUUAAAGUGGCCUGCUUGGAAAUUUGAAUUAACAACAUCUACUGUAUGGUCAGUGAAUUUCAAGUGUGGUUAGAAAUUCAUUAGUGUCCUCACCCCACGCCCCAGCUGUCCACCAACCACCGAUGGUAGAGUGGUUUUGUUUGUUUUUUUGUUUGUUUGUUUUUUUUGUUUUUUUUUUUUAAUGAAAAAAUUUAUCCUGUCACUCCCUACUAGAGUUUUUUGAAACCUCAUUGCUUGGAGGUUACUCUUAGAAAUAAGGCACCUGAGGCCCUUGGUAACCUAGCCCCCGCCUUACCUUUAUAGCCUCAUCUUAAGCUCUCCCCCUGAUUCGCUCCAUAUCCCAGGACUUGGCAUUCCCCAGCAUUUCUUGGCAUUUGGUCCUAAGUGUUCUUUCCUCCUGCGAUGCUUUCCAUCUCUUCUGUUAGAGAGAUGUAACUUAACAUUGGCUAGUAUCUCAAAAAUCACCUCCUGGAAACUUAGUGCCUGUCAUACAGACAGAAUCAUUCCUUUGUGGACACAGACUUGUGUAGGUGUGUACCUCGAGUAUAGCUAGGUCACCUGGCUUGCUUGCAGUAUCCAGCCAGCUACACCAACUUUCUUGUUUGCAUUUUAUUUUCCUGACGAACCAAGAUGGUGUCUGGCACGAUAGUCCCUAAAUAAACUUACUUGAAUAAAUACUUUUGGUCCUUCCCUUCCCCUAUUUCCACAGAGUAUUUCUACUGUAUCUUAAAACUUUUGCCAUUCUGCCUUGAUUAUCAGUGAGUUGUUUAUGUCUGUCUUUUCUAACAGGUCAUAACCUUUCUUCCUCCCCCUUCCAGGUACAUAGCACAAAAUAGCUAUGCACUGAAUAGACACUCAAGAUAAUCAUUCAGUUGCUUUGGAAGAGAAACCUAGAAAUUUGAAUUAUUUCCCAUUCUGAAUAUCUUGAAUAAGUAACCCGUAAAAUAUUAGGUCUACAUUUUUUCUGUGUCUAAGUUCGGAAUAAAUCUUUGUUAUUUAUUGUGUAGUAGUAGAAGCUAAAUAUUUGUAUGUAACAUUAAAAUAUCAUUUUCCAUUCUGUGACCUCCUGGAGUGUUUCUAAUUAUUUUUGGAGACUUUUUUUUUUUUUUUUUAAAGAAAUGUGAGUUAUAAAAUAAACCAAGAGUGACAUCCACGUCUUAAGACGUGAAAUGUUGGCUAGCAGCCCAGCAAGCACACUACAGCAAAGACCACUGAAAAUGAUUCCUUUGUACUCUAGAGUUAGGUAGUACAUUUGCAUAUGACUUUCUAUAUAACCACUUCUUAGCCACAGUACCAUUACAUCUACAACUUGAACUACAGGUUAUUUGCCGGAUAAUAGUUCAAAAUGCUGUUUAGUUUGCAUGCCAUCUGCAUUUGUUAUACCAGCAUCCUUAUCUGUACUACACCCAAAUUCGUCACCAAAGUGUUGUAGCUGAUCUCAUGUCAACUCCCCUAAUACGAAUCAACGGUAGGAGGUCUGCCUUUCCAGUUUGUCACUGUUCCGCAAUCACAACUUCCCUUGGCUCUGGUUGAUCGGGUAAAUGCUGACCGUGCUUGUUUGUACUUUCGUUAUUUGUAGACCUUUCUCCCUCCCCACUUAAGUUACCCUGAAGCUCCAAGUCCUGAUCAUCCUCAGUGAAACUUCAUUCCUGAGACUAUAAACUUCAUACCAUAGCUCUCUUCUCUGUGAUGCAUUUAAUCUCACCAUUUUAUUACUGUUGAAAGUUUUGUGUUUUUUUAGUACUCACUGAGGUUUCUGUAGAAGUAUUUGUAUCUCCCAUUCAGCCAAAUACAGUGCUGAAAGAACUUUUAUUCCUGAAAAGCAACAAACUAUAGAAGCCUAUUUCGCAAGCUUGGGUAUCUGGGUGGAUUAUUUGAGAAACCUAUGCUGUUCUUAACAUUGCAUCAAAUAAUUCCUCCUCAGAUGUGAAACUAGGAAAUUCAAAUUUAAAUUCUAGCCUAAUCCAAGUAGGGAAAUGUUAAUGUUGCCCCAAAUAUCAAUCUGAUAAAGACCAGAAGAACGGUUUUUUAAAUUCUGGUUUUGUUGUUGUUUUUUUUUGCAAUCCCUGCACCCUUUGAAAAUCCCGAUCAAGCAUUGAUGCUGUUGUCUCCCUAAGGGUAGAAUGGUCUUGGUGCUUCCUCCUGUGUCUCCUUUUUAUAUCAUUCUUAAUCCUGAUUCUUAACAGAAGAAGCUCUAAAUUACUUCCAGACUUCGUGGUCAUACCGAAGUGAGAAUUCCUGCAGAUUUCUCUUUGGGGUUGGAUUAUUUUGGUGGUUACUUAUUUAUCCAAAAAGGCAUUCAUAUGUGAAGAUUUAUGUAGAAUUUAGGAAGUGGGUGGUAUAUUUCCUUGGUUUGGGAGAGUCUUAACAUGACUCCAGGACCCUAACCCUGGUAGCUGAAUUGUCUCAAAGCCAAGAGACUCAACAAACCUUCCCUUCCACACACACCAUACCAACACUCCCUGCCGUUUGCCUCUAAUUCUUCCACCCCUUCAUGAUCAGCUAAAGACUUCAGCAUUCUUGGACUAAUUGCACUGUAAUUUCUGCUUUGCUUUUUUUGUUUAUAUAUUGUCACAUGUAUGCGCUUGCAUGUUGCUUUCAAUCUGUUGUAUAGUUUUGUAUACAUGUAUAUCCCCUGGUUACACAGUAAACUAAGAGCAAGCACUGUGUUUUUGACAAUUCCAAGAUGCUCGGUAUACUAAUACCUUAAUGUUUAUGAAUGAAUAUGUUCAUGAAAUCCUAGGCAGGUACCCUGCAUGGCUUAGAUAAAUAGUGUGGUCCUCUAAUCAGAUUUGGCUUAUUUCCAAAGUAGGGACUUCAAGGGUUCAUGCCCUCGCUACCUUUUUUUCUUUUUAAAGGAAAAAUGCAAAGGCAUAAGACAAAUACCUUAUUCUUAGUGAAAGUAGUAGCUAACUGUUCCAUGAAGUACUUUGAUUUAUUAUAAUCCUUGAGUGGCAUUAGCUUCAUUUUGCAGUUGAUGAAAUAGGCUCAAAGAUAGUUAAAAGUGACAGGCCCAGAACUUGAAUCUUGUCUUGUGACAAAUUCGUUCAUUUUACUACCACAUUACUUGUUUUUUGUUUGGUUGGUUUUUUCUUUUAAGCCAGCCUGCCUUUUCCAGUGGGGUGGUUUCUAGGGACUCGAGUGAAAAUGACCUGUAAUAUCACCUGCUACCACCAGGGUGUCCCAUCGUGCUGUCUUUGAUCCAUGUUUUAGUCCUAGUGGCUGUGGCCCAAAGCUCAGCAGCAGGAAAGUGGGGUGCUUAACUCCCUGUCUUUCUAGUAUGCAGUGCAAAGCCAGCAUCAGAUGCCCUUGCCCUCUUUUAACCCCUUCAGGGCACAGCCAGGGCUUGGCUAGACACUACUAAUGAGGAGGCAGCCCACAAAGGACAGACAUUAGGAUAGAAAAGACCCUGUGAACAGGUUAAUGUCCACAAAUCUGCAUUUGUUCUGGUAGCUGAAUAUACACUUAACACAAAUGGAUAUUCGUAAAAGAGAUCCACCACAGAAAGAUUGAAUUGCUUUACUACUCAAGGUAGAUGAGUUUUAAAAGCCAGUGUGUAGUGACUUGAGAAAAAGUCUGCAUUACACUUAGCCCUGAGCAUACAACCUCUUAGGCAUCUGUAUUUGAUAUUCAACAAUCUUUUAUUACAAUCUUCAGUGUUAAAACUAUAACAUGUGAGAACUAAUGAGAUGAAGUCUCUAGUAGUAAAGAGGUCAAACACCCGCUUUAAAUUUAUUUUUUCCUUCCAGUGCUCUUUAAGCACUUUGUACGAAUGUCUGAUUCUUUUCAAGUUUUAGUUCUCCCCUGGAGGAGCUCCUUAAAAGUAUCCCCAGUGACUAGUACAGUUCCAGACAUUUAAUAGGUGCUCAGUUAAUACUUGUAUAUUGAAAUAGCAAAGCCUUCAUAAUAGAUUAUGGUUAUACAUGAGCCAUUUCUCUAAGGAGAGAGUCUACGUUAGGGAUAGUGAGGACUUUGAUUUGUCUUCCAGCUGAUUAGAACCUUUUAUGAACUAGGAAAGUAAUUCUUGGGAGGUCCUGGACUGCCUUUCAAAUCUGAAUGAAAUAUGUCAUUUCUGGGUAGAAAUUAAUUAGCGUGGCCUGAAUUUUAUUUUACCCAUGCAAUAUCUUUUCACCAGGGCUCUUAAGCCACCAGGAUAGGCUUACUAAAUUAGAGUGAACAUUACUGAUGGGAGAUAUUGAUUGGUAGUUCCCUUUAACCUUUUUGCUACUUGUCUUCCCUGUGUGUUCCCAUCCCCAAAUUCCUGUGGUUUUAAGGUAAUCAAUGGAAUAAAUCCUAAACCUUCUUGUAGUAGUCCUUUUCAGUUUUCUCAUGUCUUUUGGUGAGAGGGCUAGUCACAGAUUACAGUACCAAUUUGAACCCUUCCAUCUGCUUUGCCUAAGUGAUCAGAAUAACUGAGCUAAAUUAACAUGUCAAACAUGGGGGGGGGCUUCCUCAGGCUUCAUGAGUUUUGUUGAGUGUACUACAUAGGGGACUCAAUGAAUAUUUAGGAAUAAAAGUUACCAGUUCCAGUGUCCCUGAGAUGCAUCACUAAAGGAUUUUUUCAUCCCCUAAUUAUAAAUCUGUAAAUGCAUUAGUAGAUUGGUCUGAAGAUGCACUUCCGUAUAUGAAGAGUAAGUAUAUUGCCUUUCCUAUCUAAAGUGCAAACUACUAAAAGGCAGAAAUCAUGUGUAACCUAACCCCCAGAAUGCCGGUUUCUGGGAUUACCUUAUACCUACCUGAUGCCCCGGAAGCUUUUUUUCACAGGUUUGGAUAUGGCUUUCUGAGUAGUCCCUGCUGAAUGAACGAUGAGAGAAAGUGAAAGGACAGGUGGGUCAGGCAGAGGAAGCUGGAAAAACAAGAGGAAAUAGCUAGGAGCUGGGGGGCGGUGAAGGGGACGGUACUUAUGUAAGGUCAGUAAAAGAAAAAGCAGAGGACAGGGUCAGUCCUUGGGGGUAGAGGGCUGAUUUACUUCUGUCAGGUAGUUGAGUAGAGCUUUGUACACUUUGUUGAAAAGACUAUAAAGUUACUUCAGGAGACAAAUCUAGAUUCUCUGACCCAUCUUCCCUAUUUACCAUAGUAAAUUGUUCAUCAAGUCAAAACCACUGUCCUCUAGGAAUUCUGGUCCCCUUCAAUUCUAGCAAAGAGCUUGCUGCCUCUGCUCAGGCAAUCAAGGAUAACAAUGUUUGGAGUAGUAUUUGUGAUAGCUGUAAGCCUGAUGUUUUAUUCACAGCUUAAGGAGCAAAUGCAGAGUACAGCUGUUGUCCCUAACAGCUUGCCUGGUUCCUGCAUCUGCUUUUAUGCCUAGACCCAAUGACUGAGCUUUAGGUAGUGUCUAGUUCAGAGACUGCUCAGGGUCAAGAAACACCUUUAAAGGAGCGAAUUCCCUCCCCUGGAGCCUUAGCCAGAUCUUAAUGCUAUCCGGGCCUUGCGUUGCCAUCUUUUGGCAUUGCUUUCUAGAAUGGAGCAGCCUUCCUAAAGCUUAGGCUAGCUAGUGUUGUGAUGCCACAUCAGUGUCUUAGGUCACCACUGCUCGCUUCCCUCACACAGGCAACAUAAUGCAUUAGUUCCCCGGGAAUGGGGGAAUCCUCAGCAGAACAUCAGAUUGACCCGAUGAGGCUUUUUCUUAAUUCUAGGUCCAUGAAAGGGAGAGGAAGGACUACGGAUGCAGAAAGAGGGAACCAUAAAAUCCACAUGUAUUAAUAUGCUAACUCUGGAGAUUUCUGAGAAACAAAACCCUUCUUGAAUUCUGGACUACCCCUAAAUCUGGUGUGAAGAAAUUAUUAACGAGGCUGAUCUGUCCCCUGAUGUGCUACCUGCUUCUGAUACUGAUCCACACUGCAGAACUUCUCAUUCAUCCCCAAGGCCUCCAAGCAAUGUCCAAUAGGGAAUCGACUCUAAAAGGAACCAGGCCAACGUGUGCAGCCCUUUCCUUCUGCCAGGGUUUAUAAAAAUAUCACCGAUACAGCCUGCCCUCACAUUUCUCGCCACAGGAGACUUCUUGGACUGGAGACAUUUGUUUAAUAAUAGCUUGUCUCUGAUAUUCCCAGUAGCUACCUCUCUGCGAGGAGAGGAUAGCAAACGUUCAGGACAUCAUCAUACAAAGUUCCAGUAGCAGUGACGCCUACACGGAAGACUUGGAACUGCAAACAGGCUGGGGUCACCUCAGUGACAUCUGACGCCGUCCAACCACAAGUUCGGUUUUUGUUUUGUGGGGUGAGAAAGCAGACUGUACUAAAGGACAAAAAUGAUUUCUUAUCUAUA